AGAGAUCUUCAUCUUCAUCGGUCGCCUUCACCCGGCGCUGCUGUCAAUACUCGGGUCUCUCCAGUCCUGCAGCUGUCGCCCAUGUCCCUCUCUGCCCGUGUGUGUGUGUGUGUUUCACAUCCGGUGCUUGCGGCUGGCGAGGCAAAGCGAUUCCCCACUUCCGGAUUGACUCAUUAAGUAGGACCCGCCCCCUUCGCCAUUUCCCUAGCAACAAGACGCCUUAGCAACCGUCGCGAUGUGGUGAUGGGCCGCUGGAUGCUUGGUGUCUCUGUAAUAACUCCAUGAACAGGUGAAGGUGAAGUGACAUUCAGCCAAGUAUGGUGACCCAUACUCAGAAUUUAACCCAUCCGAAAUGCACACACACAGAGCAGUGAACACACACACACACACACUGUGAGCACACACCCGGAG